ACGGCGUAGUAAUGCAUCGGAACGUACCCUCUGGUCGGGGAUAGCUACGGGAAACUGUAGGUAAUACCCGAUGAUCUCUGCGGAGCAAAGGUGAGAUUCCGCCGGAGGAGCGGCUGAUGUGAUAUUAGCUAGUUGGUGGGGUAAUGGCCUACCAAGGCGAUGAUGUCUAGGGGGUGUGAGAGCAUGGCCCCCACGACCGGAACUGAGAUACUGUCCGGACACCUACGGGUGGCUGCAGUCGAGAAUCUUCCGCAAUGGACGAAAGUCUGACGGAGCGACGCCGCGUGCGGGACGAAGGCCCUUGGGUUGUAAACCGCUGUCAGAGGGGAUGAAAUCUUCGGAGGUACUCCUCCGAAGUUGACAGAGCCUCAAAGGAAGCACGGGCUAAGUACGUGCCAGCAGCCGCGGUAACACGUACUGUGCGAACGUUAUUCGGAAUCACUGGGCUUAAAGGGUGCGUAGGCGGCGAAUCAAGUCAGGUGUGAAAGGCCUGAGCUCAACUGAGGCAUUGCGCUUGAAACUGAUUUGCUUGAGUAUCCCAGGGGUGUGCGGAACUGCCAGUGGAGCGGUGAAAUGUGUUGA
rnacentral:rRNA from 1 species